CACCCCAAGCCUGUUAUGUGUAAACGAGAGGCGGGGGAGGUAAAUCAACAGAUUCAGCUCAGCGGCCUGGUCAUUUCCACAGACGCAGCACGGGUCAGAUCUCUUUUCUGCAGAUGGCAGGACGGCCACAGCCACCUGUCCGGCCCCCAGCUGUUCGGUCUCUGUCCCAGGGACCCAAUUCCGUGUUAUACAAAAGCGGCCACAGCCAAACCCCUGAGAGUGUGCGAGCCUCAGGGCCAUAAAAUUUCAUCUCUGGGCACUGAAACUCGAAUUUCAUGUUUUUCACGAGUCCAAAGCAGUCUUUGGAUUCUUUCAAUCAUUUAAAAGUGGUAAAAACUGGCAGAAUGACUGGGUCCAUAAAAACGUAAAAAUCAUGGCUUUGGGGUUUUUAAAAAAAUGUUGGGGCUGGAGUCCAGGUCCUCCAGCCCGCUAGGCUGCACCCCGGCCCUGGAGGAAGAGGACACCUCAUGGCCCGUAGAGCCAGGCGGUAGGCCAGGUCGGGUUCGUGGAGCAGCAGCGCGCUGAACAGGUACUGUGCAUGGGCACGCCCUCCCGGGACAGCGCCUCCCCGAAGCCGCUGAAGGGCAUCCCUUCCGGCUCAGCACCUGAGCUCGGGCCGCCUCUCCCAUCAAGUGUGCUUAGACCUCGGGUUCCAGAGAGAGCCUGCACCGAACGGGACAGAUGCAAAGGCCAGGGAGACCAGGGCUGGGUCUGACACAGCGACUAGGGUCCCCGGCACUCCUAGUGCCCAAGACCGGCGAGGUCCCACCGGGAAGCCUUGAGGGGCAGUGCCAAAUAACUCCCGCAUCAAUAGGGGCGGAAACUCACAGCAAUCAAGCCCAUAGGCUCAGACUACGGGCGGGGCCAGAGGCACAGGGGCGGUGCCUAUGUUGCCGUCCCCGCCCAGAAGCGACUAUCUCAUUGACUAUAAACUGCUCAAAGGGUGGGCCCUCACCAUGUAGAGCAGUUAUUGGCUGGCAGCAAGUCGAGGCGGCACUAAAAACUUUUAGAAUGGAGAGUAAGGCCCUGGAGGCGGAGCUAAGGGGGAGCAGGUAUUGGCUGCCAGCACACGCUAGGGGGCGGGAGUAAGAGGAUGGCGUCCGCUCAGGGCGCACCGUAAACUGCAGGGGCGGUGCCUCACCGUCCAGCAGCAGCCGCGCCUGCUUGCGCAGCACCUGUGCUAGCCAGUCAUCCAGGUCCACUUCCUCCAGCAGGGUCAACAGCUGCUCAUUGCGCACCACCUUGUCCUGGGCAUAGAGUCCCUCAGACAGGGCCCGCUACUGCCCCAGGCCCAGCAGUGUGAGCUCUACUGCCAGCGCCAGGUUCGGCCGCCGCUUUAGCCUUCGCCUCCGUUCCGCCCCCGGCGCCCGACCCGAUUGGACCCCGUCUAGGCCUCCGCGAUCCUCUUGUUCCCUUGGCUGCGCCUCCAGACCCAGACGCUUCGGCUCAUUGGACAACUGCUAUGCCAGUGUUACCGCGUUUGUCCAAUCACGGAACGCAGCGGGAGGCGCUGUCAAUCACACAGCUCCAGGAGCCAAUCGGAGCGGAAAGGACCCCCCCCACCGCAUCUUGGACCGUCUGCCAAGUUUCGGGGCGGGCCCUGGGUUCAUUCACAUUUCUCCCCCGCCUCCCCGGAGCUGGACUGUGGGCCAGGGGCUGCUAGGCUUUGUUUACCGAGGGUCGCUGCCGGGCGCCCGGAGGACUGUCGGCUGCGCCGCGCCUUCCACCUGCGCUUGUGCGGUCCGAGACGUGCGCCCUGCGUCUCAGGGCCCCGGCUCGGUGUGAGGUUUGGGGACCCGAGCAUAGGUGCGGAUUUCCGGCGGGACGUGGGAGGGCUGCAGACCUCGGCCCAGGCAAGGCUCAGCCCAGGGUACCCCCCCUCCUCGACCCCGUCCUUUCAGUGCCCUAAAUAGGUUGGUUCAUGAUUUUGUAAAAUUUUAUCAGGGCCGGGACUCACUAAGUAGUUCAGGCUGGCCUGAACUCACAGAGAUUCUGCUGUCUCAGCCUCCCAAGUGCUGGGGUGACAGCUGUGCGCCCCCAUGCCUGGGAAAAUUUCUAGUUUUCGAUCAUCUCGACGUAGUAAAGUGUGCAGCUUCAAAUCCAACCGCCUGCGAUCACUUUUGUGACCCAGCUCGUCCGGGCCACCAUCUGUGCCCCGGAAGCUGGCCGUGGUCUUGGUCACUGCCUCCCCCACCCCGAGAUCUCAGAGCACCCGCGUAGCGCUUCCUCGGGCUGUCUCGUUACUGCCGGCGUCUGGGCAGCACCGCCCGCGGCCGCUCGGUCUGGCACCUGUGACUUAGGCUACGACGCAAGAAAGCGAUGUGCAGAGCUGGGACGGGGCCCCUCUGCCUGGGAACUUCAGGGCUUUUCUCGGGGUCUCAAGCGGCUCUUUCUGACCAGUCCCAAAUGUGCGGUAGAUUUCAGACACUUAAAUAAAUGGCCACGGGGCUGAGGAUUUAGCUCAGCGGCAUAAGCGCCUGCCUUGCAAGCAGGCAGUCGUGAGUUCGAUCCCCUGUACCGAUGAAAACGAAAAAGACCAAAAAAAAAAAAAAAAAAAAAAAAGGGCACAAAAUAUCUCAUUGAGAAUUUUCAGUGGGAUGCGGUGGCGCACAUCUGUCAUCCCAGCACUCAGGAAGCUGAGGCAGGGAGACUGCUGUGAAUCUGAGGCCAGCCUGGGGGAAAGCAAUUUCAAUACCCUAUCUCAAAACACCAAAUUAAAGACAGUGUUAACUAUUGAUUACACAUCAAAAUGAUGCGUGGUUUCAGUAAACUCUGAUUGAAAUUG